rnacentral:rRNA from 1 species
GUGGGGAAUAUUGGACAAUGGGCGAAAGCCUGAUCCAGCCAUGCCGCGUGUGUGAAGAAGGUCUUCGGAUUGUAAAGCACUUUAAGUUGGGAGGAAGGGCAGUAAGUUAAUACCUUGCUGUUUUGACGUUACCGACAGAAUAAGCACCGGCUAACUUCGUGCCAGCAGCCGCGGUAAUACGAAGGGUGCAAGCGUUAAUCGGAAUUACUGGGCGUAAAGCGCGCGUAGGUGGUUUUGUAAGUUGGAGGUGGAAUCCCCGGGCUCAACCUGGGAACUGCCUCCAAAACUGCAUGACUAGAGUACGGUAGAGGGUAGUGGAAUUUCCUGUGUAGCGGUGAAAUGCGUAGAUAUAGGAAGGAACACCAGUGGCGAAGGCGACUACCUGGACUGAUACUGACACUGAGGUGCGAAAGCGUGGGGAGCAAACAGGAUUAGAAACCCUGGUAGUCC